AGAUGAUGAUAAGGGCAAUACAUAAACAUCAAUUUGAACCUGUCCCAAGCGUGGUCUAAGUUCUCACCAACCUUCUAUCUAAAAACUUAAAUGUCACUCCUUAAUUU